GCUGGCGGCAGGCCUAACACAUGCAAGUCGAACGGAGUUAUAUUGUAGCUUGCUAUGGUAUAACUUAGUGGCAGACGGGUGAGUAAUGUAUAGGAAUCNACCUAGUAGUACGGAAUAAUUGUUGGAAACGGCAACUAAUACCGUAUACGCCCUACGGGGGAAAAAUUUAUUGCUAUUAGAUGAGCCUAUAUUAGAUUAGCUAGUUGGUGGAGUAAUAGCCUACCAAGGCAAUGAUCUAUAGCUGAUCUGAGAGGAUGAUCAGCCACACUGGAACUGAGAUACGGUCCAGACUCCUACGGGAGGCAGCAGUGGGGAAUAUUGGACAAUGGGCGAAAGCCUGAUCCAGCCAUGCCGCAUGAGUGAAGAAGGCCUUUGGGUUGUAAAGCUCUUUUAGUGAGGAAGAUAAUGACGGUACUCACAGAAGAAGUCCUGGCUAACUCCGUGCCAGCAGCCGCGGUAAUACGGAGAGGGCUAGCGUUAUUCGGAAUUAUUGGGCGUAAAGGGCGCGUAGGCGGAUUAGUAAGUUAAAAGUGAAAUCCCAAGGCUCAACCUUGGAAUUGCUUUUAAAACUGCUAAUCUAGAGAUUGAAAGAGGAUAGAGGAAUUCCUAGUGUAGAGGUGAAAUUCGUAAAUAUUAGGAGGAACACCAGUGGCGAAGGCGUCUAUCUGGUUCAAAUCUGACGCUGAAGCGCGAAGGCGUGGGGAGCAAACAGGAUUAGAUACCCUGGUAGUCCACGCUGUAAACGAUGAAUGUUAAAUAUGGGAAGUUUUACUUUCUGUAUUACAGCUAACGCGUUAA
rnacentral:rRNA from 1 species